UACGAACCGUGCGAACGUUGUUCGGAAUCACUGGGCUUAAAGGGCGCGUAGGCGGCUCGACAAGUCGGGGGUGAAAUCUUUCGGCUCAACCGGGAAAGGGCCUCCGAUACUGUCGAGCUCGAGGGAGGUAGGGGCGGACGGAACUUCCGGUGGAGCGGUGAAAUGCGUUGAUAUCGGAAGGAACGCCGGUGGCGAAAGCGGUCCGCUGGCCCUCUACUGACGCUGAGGCGCGAAAGCCAGGGGAGCAAACGGG
rnacentral:rRNA from 1 species